CUUGAAUAUUUUAGGGACUUUAAGACUAAAAAAAGAAGCAGUACAGUUAUGGAUGCAGGCUCUUAUCCUUUUAUAUAUACACCAUAAUUCUUUAAGAUUUUCCAUUUGGUUUCUUGUACUUUGGAUCUUUGUCUAAAUGAAUGGCAACAGAAUAGAAACCAACAAAGAAAACGAUGAUUGGGACUUCAUUGCAUAAAAUUUAUUUAAUUUUAUUUGUUUUGGGGUCCCUUCUCAUUGAUCAACUUAAAACAAAUUAAAAUAAAAUACAGCUUGAUUGAUGUUAAGAUUAUUAGCCACGGAAGCAACACUGUAAUUUUCACCAAGUCUGGAAAGUGGGUGUCUAAACUAGAGCUUUGUUGGCCAGUUUAUAUGCUUGUCAUAUUUUGACUAUACAAGAAAUAAAACAACAAUAAUAAUAAUAAAAAGUAUACGUUGGAAGCGAAUUUUACGAUCCCAUGCUUAGCUGUGUGUAUUAAGGAAAGGGAUCAGAUUAAGAAACCGAAGUUUAAGUAACUUUAGUACUAUAUAAUUUAUUAAUUUGUUAGAUUGUAAAAUUGGCUGUGUUUCCAUUUGGUCUCUGAUGUUGUGUAUUAUUUCAAAGCACAUGUAGUGUUAUGUAUAUAUAUAUUUUAAAAAAUUGUGAUGGGUUAAGCCGUUUUAACAACAACAGGAGUAAUAAAUAGACUCAAUUCUGCUGCUACUAUGUGAUGGGUUUAGAAGAUAGAGCUACCAAAGGUAGUUAGAGGGCAUGCUUAAAAUUAUAGUAACCCCUUAUAUAAACUUGACCCGUGUGUGACACAAAAAAUGAGACUUUUAUCUCUUAUUAACAUCAAUGUCAAAAAAUUCAUAGUUAUUUAUGGCUACGCUGUCAUUCUUUGAAAGAUUGACAACAUCCUUUGCAACUAUUGGCUGUGUAUUGGAACUUUUUUUGGGCAAAUAAAAUAAGACUUAAAGAAAAGACAAUAACGAGAAGAAAUGGAAUAAAAACUGUCUCGACAAAAAUAAUUACAAGAAAGUUGAUAAUAAUAUUAUUAACUAUCCCUGUCAAAAGACCUCAUAAUUCCCGAAAAGCACACAUUUCACUUUAUUCUAUUCCAUGGUAAUAUCUGAGAAUAAAAAUCCAGUUGACAGUGAUUUACUUUUUCCAAAGGAUCCACGGUGUAGAAUUCAGCUGUCUCAUGAAAACAAGAGACAGGCGUGACCUUAGCAUGAGCACCCUGAUUCUAAAAAAUUCCUUGUGAUUUGUUUAUCCAUAGUGGUUGGAUUAGGUCUUUUCUUGGGUGUUCUGAUUGUGAUUUUCCCAACUUUUGAAUGAAAAAGACCAAAUUAGCCUUGCUUGUGACCCUCUUCUGAUGUGACUUUUAGGAAGGACCAGCAAGGCAUUGCAUUGCAUGCAACAAGAGAACAGAAAGGACCCCAACCCAAGUCAGCCAAACACAGCAAAUAGAGUUUCAGAAUCCUUUUUUGCCCUUUCCAUGUCAGUGACCCUAAACGGUAACAGUACAGUACACUGCCUCCGCUGAAUUUCAGACACACAGUGCCAUUUACCCCUCACCCAAUCAACCAUCAGGUGUUUUGUUUUUCCACUUUACAAAGCAAAAGAAAAAAAAUAAUAUAAAAACAAGAAAAACGAAACAGCCUUAUUAUUAUUAUUAUUCCUUCCUUACCAUUUACUUGUUUAGUAUUUUCUUUUGCUUAGUUUAAUAAAUUAGUUCCUUCCAUUUCUUUUACCAAUGCUUACUGAUUUCCCAGUGUUGGUUUACGGUUUCAUUGUUCCAUUGUCCUUUUUUUUUCCUUUUUGAAUUUUCUGUGAGGUCCAGUGGGGUUGGGUGAUGAGUGAAAGUUUGUCUGGAAGUGAGUAAGAAGAUACGAAAUAAGAGAUAGAAAGAGAGAGAGAGAGAGAGUGGUGUAGCUGUUUCAUGCUGCUUUCACACAUCCUAUGUCGUUAUGUGGCUAAGGAUUGGGUCCACCGACCCGUAGGCCUUACCUUCUCUCUCUCAUUAAUUUUCCAUAUUGUAAAAAUUUCAUUUAUGACAAGAGAGAUGUGAGCAAAAUCUGGAAAAACUUUUGAAGAGGGAAAAAAGGCAGAGAAUAAUAAAGAAAAAGGAAAAAAAAAAAGAAGAAAGGAGCAAAAUGCUGUGUGUAUAUGUGUUGGUGUAUAUGCAUGACACCAAAUCAGUGAAGAAACUCAGUGUUAUUGCUAGCUCAAUUUUCUCAUUUAAAACAACCCAACCUCAGGAGGAAAACCACAUCAAGCAGUGUCCAUGGAGGGAUUGAUUUACUAUUUCUUCUUCUGUCUAUUCUAGCCUUCUCUUCCCCCUCUAGAUUUUUCUUUUGCUAUCAAUCUGCGACAAUUCUAUUGCUUUUUCUGGGAUUGGGGAUAUGAAUUGAGGAGGACUCAAAUUGCAUGUGGGUUUUCCAGAAUUCUGAUUAAGGUUUAAGGUUAAAGGAGAGAAAAGAACACUCCCAGGUGAAGCAGAAGAAGGUUAAUUGUUAUAAAUAGGACUUUCUAUAAGAGAUGGCGGCAUCAUCUUCCUCAGCAUCGCUCUUUGGAUUUAGAGAAGAGGAUCAGAACCAGAUGAAGCAACAGCAUUCCUUGACACCAACAUCAUCUGCAACUCCAGCUGCACCCCCACCCCCGAAGAAAAAGAGAAACCAACCUGGAACACCAAAUCCAGAUGCGGAGGUGAUAGCACUAUCUCCCAAGACCCUAAUGGCAACAAACAGGUUUAUAUGUGAGGUGUGCAACAAAGGGUUCCAAAGGGAGCAAAACCUACAGCUACACAGAAGAGGACACAACCUGCCUUGGAAGCUUAAGCAGAAGACUACAAAAGAGCCAAAGAAAAAGGUUUAUCUGUGUCCUGAGCCCACAUGCGUCCACCAUGACCCUUCAAGGGCUUUAGGUGACCUCACAGGGAUCAAGAAGCACUACUCUCGCAAACAUGGUGAGAAGAAGUGGAAGUGUGACAAGUGCUCAAAGAAGUAUGCUGUUCAAUCAGAUUGGAAAGCCCAUUCUAAGACUUGCGGCACCAGAGAAUAUAGAUGUGACUGUGGCACCCUCUUCUCCAGACGAGACAGCUUCAUCACCCAUAGGGCCUUCUGCGAUGCACUGGCUCAAGAGAGUGCAAGGCAACCACCGAACCUGGGCGGUGCCAUUAGCGGCCACAACUUAUAUGGAAGUAACAACAUGGCUUUAAACUUAUCUCAGGUGGGUCCCAACAUGCAAGACCAAAAUAACCAACCAAAUGAACUAUUGCGACUCGGUGGUGGUGCUGGUCGAACCGGUCAAUUUGACCACAUUAUCGGUUCACCAUUCAGAUCUUCACAGCAACCCUUCUUCAUGCCCGAACCGAACCAAAACUACCAUCACCACCCUGAACAACAACAAUGUUUGGUUCAAAACAAACCUUUCCAGGGACUAAUGCAAUUAUCUGAUCUUAACAACAAUCAUCAUCAUAAUAACAGCGUGAACAAUUCUCCAUCAGCUGGUUCCACCCUCUUCAACCUUCCCUUUCUUUCAAGCAACACCACUAACACCACCAACACCUCCUUCUCUGAACACUUCAACAAUGCCACCAAUAAUGGCAAUGCAGGAGGCAACAAUGAAGGGACCAAUUUCUUCACAACUUCAAGUGCACCUUCUCUCUUCAGCACCUCUCUUCAAGGUGGCAGCAACAAUAACAACAACAACAACAGUGCUAUCUCUCACAUGUCAGCAACUGCACUGCUUCAGAAAGCUGCACAAAUGGGUGCAACUUCAAGCAACAGCACUGCUUCACUGUUGAAAAGCUUUGGAAGCGGUUCUUCUAGCAGCGGAGGAUCAAAAUCUGAUCAUAGGCCAUUGGUUGCUGCUGCAAACUAUGGUGGCAUUUUUGGAGGAAGUGAGCAUAGUAGUAAUAGCAACCUGCAAGAUCUUAUGAACUCUUUUGCUGUUAGUGGGAACUCUUCACUUUUUGAAAGUGGAUCUUCUGGAGGGUUUUCUGUUACUGGGUUUGAAGCAUAUGAUCAUAACAACAGGGACCCAAAAUUGCAUCCAAUGAACAUUGGAGGUUCUGAUAGGCUCACCCGCGAUUUUCUUGGUGUUGGGCAGAUAGUGAGAAGCAUGAGUGGUGGUGGUGGUGGAGGAGUUUCAGUUUCACACAGAGAACAACAUCAGCAACGUGGGUUCAACUUGAGUUCUAUGGAGGCAGAAAGAAACAAUGCAGCAGCAUCAGGGCAAUCUUUUGGAGGUGGUGGAGGGAAUUUUCAGUGACGAUGGGAAAGGCAUAAUCAUCCAUCUGAUGCAAAGAAAGUACAAAGGUGUAGUUGCUGCAUGGUAGCAAAUGGUUGCAAGAUUUAUUUACGAGACAGGUAUUUCAACCCGUUCUGUUGAAACUUAACAGUCUAGCUCAUCUAAUUAAGGCUUCUGAGAGCAGGAUUAGGGAAGCAUGUGAAAGUUUCUGGAAUUUACUAAUAGCGCAAGCAAAUUAGGCUCCAAGAUUAGGCAUCUUCAACUCCGUUACAACUUUCUGCUUUUUCUUCUCUACCUUUUUACAAGUUUAUUCGGAUUAUAAACAAACUAGCUAGCAUCAUGAUUUUCAUGGUUUAAAUAGAUUUUGUUUUUGAACAAUGCAUUUGUUAUAUUUAUACUUGACUGCCAGUAAUGACUUUGUUCAUACAUAGUUUGGCCUUUUGUGCAUAAACGUGCAUGGACAUCUUCAGACCAUUAUGGUCCCGUUUAUAUCACAUGUUUCUUAGAAAUAUUUUUUUAAAUCAUAGUG